AUUGAACGCUGGCGGCAGGCCUAACACAUGCAAGUCGAACGGUAACAGGAAACAGCUUGCUGUUUCGCUGACGAGUGGCGGACGGGUGAGUAAUGUCUGGGAAACUGCCUGAUGGAGGGGGAUAACUACUGGAAACGGUAGCUAAUACCGCAUACGUCGCAAGACCAAAGAGGGGGACCUUCGGGCCUCUUGCCAUCGGAUGUGCCCAGAUGGGAUUAGCUAGUAGGUGGGGUAACGGCUCACCUAGGCGACGAUCCCUAGCUGGUCUGAGAGGAUGACAAGCCACACUGGAACUGAGAAACGGGCCAGACUCCUACGGGAGGCAGCAGUGGGGAAUAUUGCACAAUGGGCGCAAGCCUGAUGCAGCCAUGCCGCGUGUAUGAAGAAGGCCUUCGGGUUGUAAAGUACUUUCAGCGGGGAGGAAGGGAGUAAAGUUAAUAACCUUAGUGAUUGACGUUACCCGCAGAAGAAGCACCGGCUAACUCCGUGCCAGCCGCCGCGUAA
rnacentral:rRNA from 1 species